CUGUUGUGGUCAUGGCUACCAAGCUAGCUAACUUGAGCUGCUAUACCGUGAACAAUAGAAUAAACAGAAGAAGCUAACCGUGUGAGGAAAACACGACGACAGGAGCAAUAUGUUUUAACAAGGAAUACACACUUGAAGUCCGCCAAGGUUUCCCUCACCUUCUGCACGACGGCCUCAUCAUCCUCCACGGCCUUGGAGCACUGACGGUGCACUCGGCCGUGCAGCUCCUCCAGACACUUCUGCGAUAUGACCGAAUACGGUGUGGCUCAUAAAGUGUCCACUGAGCCUCUUACUGUUGCUGAGCCACCUUCUGCUGCUGCACGGCUUCAUCGUAGCCACAGUUCACCUUCUUCUCCAGGAGUUUGCAAUGGUUCUCGGCCGCCUCGACCUCGGCCGCCCAGCCCUGCUCCUCUCUGGCCAGCUCCUGCGCACAGCAGCAGUUGUGAGACAAAAAGUAGGUAGCGGACAGCAGGACAAGUGAAUUGUUUGCCUUAUUAUGUACAGGCUUGAUAUUUAAUGUAACUUUAGUGACUUUUAUUUAUCAGGUGUUUCAUCCUCUAUUUGUGCUCAAUGCAGAGAUAUAAGUGGAAUGUCUAAGUUUGCGGCCAAUUUUGUUAUUUAUUUUUGACUUUACUCCACAGUUGAAUGCACUCUGCACAUAUGGUUAUGUGUAUUUUCAGAGAUUUUUCAAAUAUAAAUGUGACUUCUAUACAAGUGGGUGGAGACUUAAAGGAAAACUGCAUGUUUUUUUUUUUUUUUAAACUUUGCCAAUCAUCCACAGUCCUUAUGUGAAACAUGAACACUUUCCCUUUUCUGUGUGUUCUAAAGAGAGAAAAACAGCCAGCAUGAGGCAGACAACAAUGCACGUCAUGGGACCCCCCCAAUAAAGCCCUCUGAAUACCCUCCAAAAAUGCCAAUAAUGUUCCAUUUACACGUGACCUGCAUUUUAACCAAGCUACAGUAGCAUUGUCACUGUCGGAGGUAACACCAAAGACCUACUUUUAUGGCGUAGUGACACAGCGCCUCGCAUGUGUAUAGUAGAAGACUGUGGCAAUAAGCUGAAAAGUUGGUCAAGUAGUGGAUAGCGGCUCUCAACAUCGCUAGGAUGACUUGGCUAGAUGCUCAUCUCAGCAUUUUUGCCAUGAUUAGAGGGAGCAAAUGCUCUCUCUAUGUUGCUGUUGUUGACGGAAGUAGCGUUCGUUUCUAUGUUGCUACGUGAAAUCAAUACACACAGGAUGGAAGUUCCAGAAAUGCUUAAAAGGACCAAAAUAUGGCAAAAUACUGUAAGUAUUACAUGUUAUCAUGAAUGUACCCGUUACCACAUGGUCACAGCAUGGAUAUAAAACCAUCAUUGGAGGUGUUUUAAUAGAGGGCUUUAUAGGCGGACUAGGUGAAUCCUUUUACUUGCAUUGUUGGCUGCCUCAAGUUUUCCUUCUACUUAGAACACAUAGAAAAGAGAAAAACAUGUGUUCAUGUCUCACAUAAGGGUUGGAGAUGAUGGGCAAAAAGUGCAGUUUUCCUUUAAUGCCCAUGGGGAAAAUGAUAAUACCUGCUGGUCAGAAUCCAAGCGUUCAUCCACCUUGCGGAUCUGCUCUCUCAGCUGCUUCAGGUCAUUGUUCUUGUCCAAGAUGUCCGAGUUCAGCUAGAAGAGACAAUGAGGAGAAAUAAUGACAGCAGAUUUGGAUAUGACCGCUGCAAACUUGCCACCCUUUUUUGUUUUGUUUUGAGUCAGUAGGGAUAAGAGUAUGCCAACAGGUUGGCCGUGUGAUGGUUUUUAGUCACCUGUUCACAAGUCUCCUGCAGGCUGAGCUUCAUGUUGGCCAGUCGACUGUUCUCCUCCUCCACGUCACUGACCAGCUUUCUGAGGAGAUUCUACAAAACAUAUAGCAGAUAAGAGCAAAUCAACUCCAUCUUACAUCUGACCUGUCCAGGCUUAUCCCAUUAAAUGUAGAUGAGGCCAUCAAGUACCUGUGUUUGUGUCAUACGCUGGAUGUUCCCGGGUCCGCAUUCAAACGGCCUGAGCUCAAAGUCGCGGCCGCCAGCGUUCUCCGCAGACACCGGUAUCAACUUGAGUUUACGGGCCAGCUUGUGGUACUCGGCCAGCUUCAAGUCGGCCUGGAACCGGUUAACAAGACAGCCAUGGUGUUAUAUUAGGAAUUUCAAGAAAAAGGAGGAUAAACUUGUCAUCUAAGUGGAUCAUUAGCUAGCUGCUCCCCAGCCACAACAUUAGCUACACCUACCUCAGAAACAAAUGUAAUGUUUCACAUGUAUUCCCUAAAACUGUGGCAGCUGCGUACUGUAUUGCACUUGCAUGUGAACGAUACCUUCUCUUUAAUUUUAGCCAGCUCAAUCUCCUCAUUCCAUUUGUGCUGCUCGGCAUUUUCCAGAGCCUUGCUGAGGCUGGCAAUGGUCUGUUGGAGCUCCCUCUUCUCUCGGUUGAUCCUCUCCACGUCAGCCGGCGUGAACUUCUGGUCCUGCAAGAUGUUUUGCAGAUCCACCUUCUCUUGUUUGAGGAGCUCCAGAGAGCUGGCUGCGGAAAACCCAACAGGAGCCCAUAAGCCAAAGCGAUUUGAACACAACAGGAAUGGUCACAGUGAUUACUAAAAUGAAGACGUUCUGAUUUCUACGGCAGCUCAUUGGGGCAGCAAAAUAGUCGAGCCUGAAUUCCUAGCUGGCUGACAAGUCUUAAUGGCGACUGGACUACUAUAUUUCCUCAAAUAGCGGCCUUCAUACUAGAUACAAACUAGAAACGGUGAUAUUGUCAGUCCACUGCUGCUAUUGUUCACACUUGUGAACUUUGCUGCUAACCAAAACAGAAGCACCUACCAAUGCAUGUGUAAAGUGUGUCAUGACCGCAUGUUGCAAAGGAGUUCCCUGAACAUUAUCAUCAUUUUACUUUUUGUGGAGACCUGUGUCUGCCUCUGUUCUUGUCAUUUCUCUGCUUUUCUUUAUAAUAACCCUUUUUUUUUUCUAGUGGUAUUGCCGUGGUCAUAAAAGCAGCUACUGCCACCGAGACCCAGAGAAACUGUAUGCUUACAACAGCUGUCUUACCAGCGUGGUUCAGCUCAUCAGUCAGCUCUGAGGCUUUGGCCUGCAAGUUAUUUUCGAAGGACUCCAGAUUACUGCGAUAGUCCUGAAGCUUCUUGAGGUCACACUGCAGCUUCAUCUUCUCCAUCCUCUUGCUCGUUAGACGGUCCUAUCGGGGCAGAGGAAUGCGACUGAGGAUCAUUACAUCGCACACAACAUACAUGCAGUGCCGGAUUUAGUGUGGCAGGUUGAGAGCGACUCCUCUGACCUUUUGGCUCUCUUUCUCUAGCCUUUCAAUCUCUUCAGUCAGUAUCCUGUUCUUCUCCUCCAUGGAGUUCAGCAGGUCGUCAUCAACAUUGUACAGCUUCUCUGUGACAGCACAAACAUCAAUAUCAUCGUCAACCUGUCCAUAAUAGCUUUACUUCAAAGCAGAGACUGCGCUUACUCAGUUUACUGAGAAAAAUCUCGUCGUCAUCCUCAAAGGUGUCGACACCCUGCAUGAAUUUGGCGUACGUCUCGGCUGUGUAAUCAUGCAAGAGCUGCACGGUAAGCAGACAUGGGCGAAGAGGGAAGAACAUUUUAGAUGAGAGGCUGGAGUUUUUGACGGGGGUCUUGUAUUGGUUGUGCUGGCACCUUGUUGUACUCCUCUUCAACGCUGUCGCUGUCCUCACGGAAGUCACUGAAGAGCAAGUCCUGCUUGCUCAGGUUCCAGUAGAUCUGACACCACAGACAGAGGGUGUUCAGCAGGAUAUUAUGUGUUGUGUUUAAACCACCAAUUUCGGUGGAAAUGCUGUUUGCUGCUUACCUUGACGGUGUCAAUCAACCACAUGAGAGCACCCAGAGCCUGAGGCCAUGUAUGGGGGGCACCAACAGAGUACAUGGAGCACUUGGAGAGGACAAAGGGAUAUCUACAGUACAUGAAAAAAAGAAAGAAUUAAAUAUAUUUAUUAGGAAGAUUUGUUAAAGAAGAUAAGUGUUAUGAUGUCUAACCCCAGGCCCUUGAGCAGAGCAGGAACCUCCUCCUCCACUUUGGAGUUGGGCAUUUCGAAAGUGGGGUCCAGCUGGCGGUAGAUGAACUCAAACAUCUUGACAAACUCUUUGGUGGAAGGUGACUGGAGGGUCUUGGGGGACAAGGGGCCCGGGUAGCCGUGCUCUGUCAUAAACUAUCGCAGAGAAACGCAAUUGCUGUUAUUCUUACAUACACUUUCUUAGCCACAGAUAUUGUAUACAGUAUAUACUGUGUGUUAAGACAAGUAUGCCUUUUACUCUUAAGUUCCCAAAGUGGGGUACGCAUACCCUCAGGGGUACGCCAAUUGUCAUUGGGGGUACGUGAAUAAAAAUGAAAAACAAUUAGCGCCUAACACUCACAAUUACGAGUGCACCGUCAUAGCGGACAGAAGGAAGGAGACACGGCAUGAAGUUCCUCAUUGCUCUGUGUGAGUUCCAUGAAUUUGUAAGUUUGAUGUUUAUGUUGUGUAUUAAGAGUGUUUAAUCUUGUUGGUUUAACUUCUAUUGGUGUUCCAAUACCCGCACUGUGAAAACCUGUCCAUGUAUGUGUUAGUGGGGAUUACCCUGAAAAUGAGGCUUUAUCGCUGCUUGUAUGUAUUUUUGUACUUUGGAUACUGUUUAUCAUGUUUGUUCAACUUUCCCUUUCAAUUUGGUAUCAAAUUAACAUGCAGAUUUAAAUCAAUCAUCAUUGCAAGUGGACAAAAGUGAAGCUCUGGUUCAACCCAUUUAAAAAGGGUGGGAUCCCAACAUCCGGCUGAAAUAAAAGACCAAUACUUAGAUACUUUAUUCAAGAGAAAUUAACAUCUUAUGUAUCAGUGCUCAUCAAAAUUUGACCAUCUACAAUACUAAUCUUUAACCCAGAACAGACUUACUAUAAAAUGAAUUAACCAAUUGAUCAUGUUUCACAUUUCAAUUUAAUGAAAUGCAAAAGUGGUUUAUGUUUUUUUAAGUGUGCAGCAGUAGGGGGGUUCAUGGCUUCAAGUCAAAUGUCUGAAGGGGUAUGCGACUGUAAAAGGUUUGGGAACCAUUGCCUUAUAUGAUAGAAGGCACCAUCACAUUUAUGAAUGUGAUAUUAAAGCUACUCUACCCUCAUGAUCAAAAUUUGAAGACCACUUGAAAAAUUGCAAGAAUUUACUUUUUGCACUGUUGGAUCUUGAGGAGGUUCUAAGCAGAACUUCAAAAUGCAAAAAUAAGAAAUGGGAGUGAGACAAAAAAUGUAGGGAAUUCAUUGCAAACAAGCAUUCAAGUGAAAUAGGCUGUUCAUCAACUGAUCAAAACAUUAAGACCACAGCUCAAAAAACCCUGAAACUCCCCUGAAAUAGAAAUAUAAUGUUCAAAAAAGGGCUCAGUAAUGAGUAGCUGUGGCAUUCUUGUUAAUCACCUCAAAAAUGGGUUUGGGCAUGCUUGAUGCCAGUGUUUCCAGGAGGCUAGUGAGAAUGUUGCUCAAGGUUGAGAAGAUGGCUUCACGGAGGGCAUCCACUGUCUGAAACUCAUGUCCAUUUUUGUAAACUUGUUCUCAACUGUAUCUCAAUCAGAGAAACAAGCAGAAUGGUCCAAAAGAGUGAGCUUAUUCUUUGUCAGGCGGGCAUUGCAGUGUUGUCCUGUUGAAAAAGCCAGUCAUUACCACACUGACGAGGGCCUUCAGUCAUGAGAGAUGCCGCCUGCAACAUCUCCACAUAGCAAGCUGCAUUUGACACCCCUGCACAACCUGAAGCUCCAUUGAAAGAAAAAGUACCCCAGAUCAUGAUGGCGCUGCCUCCACUGUGCCGUGCGGAAAGCAUCUCAGGUGGGAUCUCCUUGUCAUGCCAGUAACGUUGGAGGCUGUCAGGACUGUCAAGGUUCCAUUUUUUCCAGGGAAUAAAACUUUGCUCCACCUUUCAAUGUCCUAUGUUUGGUAGGGAUGUCCCGACCCGAUCUCCAGGAUCGUGAUCAGCUGCCGAUCCGCUGUAUCUUGAGGAUCGGAUAAUAUCGGCUUCCGCCACGAUCCGGUUGCCGUAUAAUGUUCUUAACCCUAGGCCACACUCCAACAUGGUAGGUGCAGUAAUGUGCCGCAAAGCUGGUUGCCACUCGACUCCCGCCACACGCAAGAAGAUGAAAAUGCACCAACACCAUGCAGACAUGUCCGCGGUCUACCGCGGUGAAGUUAGUUUCACGUUGGACAUUUGGCUCCGUAGCUACAGCGGUAGUUCCCCCUUACUGUGACAUUGUGCCGGGAGCUCACAGGGGAAGUGGUGCUCUGACCUUGUUUAUACUAGGGACCAUCAAUAAAUAUUAUUACAUUGAAGAGAGUUUGUUAAAAUGUUAAAAAUUAAAAAAAAAAAAGACUCAUAUUGUAAAUCACAGCACAAAUUAAUCUAUAACCAUGUCAAAUGAUUAGUCCUACCCUAAAUGUUUUUUGCAUGCCCAUUUUUUUUUAAAUACUAUUUUAUCUUUUAUUGGAUUAGGGACCUGACUCACGGAGGUUUGUUACAAAUGCAAAACAAUACUGUUGGUAAAAAAGUAAAUUCAGCAGUACUUUGGUUGCAUUAUUUUUUAAUGCUUUGACGAGGCAUUUUCAUAACCAUAUUCAAUCCCACAAGAUCAGUACCAGAUCAAAAACACUAUUAAAAAAAUAAAAUAAUCGGCUCAGAAAAUACAAAAUACAGAUCGGGACAUCUCUGGUGAUAUCUUGCCAAUUUGGCGUUGAAGGAGACAAGGCCUUUGAUGAGGUUUUGUUCUUAAAGGCAGUCUCUCGCAGAUGCCGUUGGUUAUUGGACUCCAUUCGGCACCAGUGACAACCUUAAUUUGGGCCAAAGAUUGUCCCGUUUCUUGACGGACAGCCAAUAGCAUGAUCCAGCUCAGGACCGGUGUCAUUUUUUUGGGUCCAUAUCCCUCAAGAGCUUUGAAGAAGUUUCAAAUGACUGUUCCAACCUCAGAAGCAAUGGCGCGCUGUGAGAGCCAAUCCGUCCACGUUCAAGAAAGCUUUUUUUGCCUUUCACACAAGAGGUCAUGACAGCGUGAAUACCUUACAGAAAAUGUCAUUGAAUCCAAAUUUUUGCCAAGAUUUUGGCUUUUAAAGGCUGUGGUCUUAAACUUUUGAUCAGCUGAUGGGGAACAGCCAAUUUCAUUUUUUUAUAAUAAAUAUUUACUAAAAAAAUGUUUUGUCUCACUCCCAUGUCUUCUUUUGCAUUUUGAAGCUCUACUUAGAAUCUCCUUAAGAUACAGCACAAAUUGUAAAUUCUUGCAAUUUUUCAACUGGCCUUAAAAUUUGCAUUCGGAGUGUAUAAGUUGUUGUUUUAUUAAUAUUUGUAGAAAUAUCCGCCGUUUUGCAGUACAAUGACGUCACUAGUUGCACAGAGAUAAUUGCCUUUUGUCAGCCAUGCCAGCUCCAUGCGGAAUAUCUCUUCCUUCCCACUAGUCUAGAAUGCAUCAUUACCUCGAAGUGCAACUCGUGACAUCAUUGCAACGCAACACAGCGGGCCCCAUGGUGAUAUGUCAUUAAAUAUAAAAAAAUAUAUAUACUUUUUUUUUGUUUUUACCUCAUGCAGCUGUCUUAUACACUGCUGCACAAAAGACUUGUCAUGUAGCGGUCGAGCGUCUUUGAUCUUCUCAGUUCCUCCAAAGCCAGACAUGGUGCUUGAGCGUGGCAUGCUGGCUCCACUCAUGCUAAAGUCGACCACAACCACAACUUUUUAACAUAUCCAUUUGUUGGUUAAGACACAAUUACAUAUACAAUAUGUUGUGUUGUCCCUUCCAUAUACAGUUACACAUGAUUGGUAUACAGCAGGGGUGUCCAAGGUGUGGCCAAGGGGGCAUUCUCUACCUGUAGCUUUUUUGGGCACUUUUUUGACCAUUGUAACAAGAAAAUUAAUUUUCUUUGUUACCUGUAACACAAAACCAAGAUGUUUUCUUCAGAUAGCUUAGCAUAUAUUGACUUACAUUGGAUGGGCUUUAGCAUCUUUAAUGCACAAAAUAUAUCAAAGUGACCCCCCCUGCAUCCUUCAAUUUUUCUGUAUGCGGCCCUCUACGGAAAAAGUUUGGACACGCCUGGUAUACAGCAAUAUGCGUAGCUACAAACACCACAUGAUGAUUACUGAUACAUCUUGAUCUUGUUUAUGUGGCUCACCUACCGUGGACCAAAAAAGCUUGUCCUCCUCUCAGAUGUCCCAGACUGUUGUUUGGCUAUGCUGAGCUUUCCAAAUGAAGGCUGUUUGCUGGUCAUUAAC